UACAGAGGUGGCAAGCGUUGUUCGGAAUUACUGGGCGUAAAGAGCUCGUAGGUGGUUUGUCGCGUUGUUCGUGAAAACUCACAGCUCAACUGUGGGCGUGCGGGCGAUACGGGCAGACUUGAGUACUGCAGGGGAGACUGGAAUUCCUGGUGUAGCGGUGGAAUGCGCAGAUAUCAGGAGGAACACCGGUGGCGAAGGCGGGUCUCUGGGCAGUAACUGACGCUGAGGAGCGAAAGCGUGGGGAGCGAACAGG
rnacentral:rRNA from 1 species